rnacentral:tRNA from 1 species
GGGGGUUUGGUGAAGUGGUAUCACGGCGGUCUCCAAAACCGCAGUCGGGAGUUCAAUCCUCUCAACCCCCG